UACGAAGAGUGCAAGCGUUACUCGGAAUUACUGGGCGUAAAGCGUGCGUAGGUGGUUCGUUAAGUCUGAUGUGAAAGCCCUGGGCUCAACCUGGGAAUGGCAUUGGAAGCUGGCGACCUAGAGUGCGGUAGAGGGUAGUGGAAUUCCCGGUGUAGCAGUGAAAUGCGUAGAGAUCGGGAGGAACAUCCGUGGCGAAGGCGACUACCUGGACCAGCACUGACACUGAGGCACGAAAGCGUGGGGAGCAAACAGG
rnacentral:rRNA from 1 species